rnacentral:rRNA from 1 species
UACAGAGGGUGCAAGCGUUAAUCGGAAUUACUGGGCGUAAAGCGCACGUAGGUGGAUUGUUAAGUUGGAUGUGAAAGCCCUGGGCUCAACCUGGGAACUGCAUUCAAAACUGGCAAACUAGAGUACAGUAGAGGGAAGUGGAAUUUCCGGUGUAGCAGUGAAAUGCGUAGAUAUCGGAAGGAACAUCAGUGGCGAAGGCGACUUCCUGGACUGAUACUGACACUGAGGUGCGAAAGCGUGGGGAGCAAACAGG